UACGGAGGGUGCAAGCGUUAUCCGGAUUCACUGGGUUUAAAGGGAGCGUAGGUGGGUUGGUAAGUCAGUGGUGAAAUCCCCGAGCUUAACUUGGGAACUGCCAUUGAUACUAUCAGUCUUGAAUACUGUGGAGGUUAGCGGAAUAUGUCAUGUAGCGGUGAAAUGCUUAGAUAUGACAUAGAACACCAAUUGCGAAGGCAGCUGGCUACACAAUUAUUGACACUGAGGCGCGACAGCGUGGGGAUCAAACAGG
rnacentral:rRNA from 1 species